rnacentral:lncRNA from 1 species
ACAUCAGUAAACGAAAUAAUAUUGAUAAGCAAGACUAUGCUAUCCUAGACUCAAGCCAAAAGUGCUGAAAUUUUAAUCAUUCAUUAAUGUUUAUAAUAGUCAGCUGGAGAGACCAAGAAGUUUAUCAAACAUAAAAAGCUUUUUAUUUAUGAGAAUCACCAAAAGACUAAACUUCUUAAAAACGAUGACUACAAGUAAGGGCUGGUAGUUUAUAGAUUUCAUAAAGUGCAUUUAUGAAACAGCUACGGCAAGUUUUUUCAGAUGACUCAUGAAGGUUUGUAAGGAGACAUCAUCAGUUAAAAUAGCAUGAGCAGGUGGAGCACCAUACAUAGACGUAGUGUUGUGCGUUUCAGAAGGAUUAAGGCGAGAAAGAAGAAACCGUGCCUGACUGCCUCCCUGGUCACAAACGAUAAAUCGAGGGAUCGGGAAUCGAUCAAUAAGCAACUCCGCUGCUUCGACUCUAGGAGCUUCUAAAAGUUCUUUUAGGUUUUGGUAUUCAGGCUGAUUUUGAUAGCCAGCAUUUCUCCAUUGGGCUAUAGUGUCCCCAUGGAAAAUUAGAAUAUGGAAGAAAGUAUCGAGCAAGAGAAUAACAUCCGGUUUUACAGAUACAGCGUCCAGCAGCACUGGAACGCCACCAGGGUGUUCGAAAGAAAAUGAUUGCAAGGUAGGUUGAAUCAUAAUAAGAGAAUUGUUAACAUCUUCAUGGUUGAGCAUGUGACGAUAAAAUGCAGUCUCAUCUGGUGAAUUGUUAAAAACUUGCAGAAAGGGGCUACGUCGUAAGUAAUACAUAAAUUGAGGGUAAAGGGUAAAUUGUGAAGAGAGACGGAAACUUGACGGAUCAUCUUUUCUAUACUCAGCAAACUUUUGACAAAGUUUGAUCAGCAUUCGGUCGGUCCAUCGAAGGACGUCAGGUCCAUCAUCGACUUCCGCUUUGAAAGCUGCAAUACGAGCCAUAGCAACAGCAGCAGCUUCUUGAUCAAAUGAAUUUACGAUCAAUGGACUACCUCCAUCAGCAAAAGCGCGAGCCACUGUUGUUACACGAAGUCGGAAUGUGUUUGAUGAAUGUUGAUACAAGGUUAGAUAUUGUACCAAACCUCGAGAGUCCCCCUGAGGGGCAGAGGCACUUUGAGUAGCUACUUCAAAGUAAAUGGCAUAAGUGGACUUUGGUGAUAUACCACACAUUUUCCAACUAUUAGUGUUACCAAGGCCAAUUUCGAUAUCGCCAACAUUUUGUGAUUUCUUGUUUAGGGAUACUGCGUGGCCGAUAAGACCGGAAAUUUUCAACUCCUUAGUUGUAAGGACCUCCAUAGUUGCAUUAAAUCCAAGAAGCAUAUUAUUCAAAGAAUCACGACCAAAUAUUCUUUGAAAACUUUGCUUAAAGAUAGAAGUAGUGAAAGAAUCAGAUAGAACAAGGUAACCCCCAGUGCUAGAAGCCAGGCUUUUCAUUUCCAUAAUUCCGAUUUGAUCCAGACAUCCGGCAAGAAUGUCUACAGCAUGUCCAUUGGCGCUGACACGUUUGGUAAGGCCUUCAUAAAAGCGCAGUGCCUUCUUUACGUGCUUUGCCUGGUCACGUUCAAUGUCGUGAUGCGAACGAAUUGGCUCACGAAGUUCGGUAGAAACAACAGUUCCAGGACCAACGGUGCUAGGGCCACCAGCAAAAAGCAUAAUAUGACCACCACUGUUGGGACAAACACUUUCCAUCAUGCUUACAGAAAUGUUCAAAGCGGUACCAGUACAACGUUGAGGACGUCUGUCAUUGGCAACAGGCCAAGAAUCAGGUUGUAGUUGUUCGAGGAUGUUAGUAAGUUGAAAUUCACACUGUUGAAUGGGAAGGAGGAAGCGCGAUGGAGCAGCCGAGCCUUGGAAAGAGCGAGCUUGUUGUAAGGCGACUGGAGAAACAUUACUAGUGGGCAAACCAAGCAUUUCCUGAAUCUGCUUGGAAGUGUAGUCCUUAGAUCCGCGGAAAACAUAAGAUUUAGAACAUUCAGUGUAGCCAAGUUCAUAAACAUCUACCAUGGUGCCAAAGGUAACUAAGCCAACUAGGCAUUCAGGGGGGAGUAAGCUUAAGCUAAUGAUUAAAGAAUCUUUUAAAGCUUGCAAGUUUUCUUCGUCCUGGCAGACAUCAACCACGAAAAGAAAGACUGGAGUGAGUUGGGGUGGUCUGGGCAAAGUAUAUUCAAUCGUAGAAUAUUCCGGCAAUAACUCAAUUGGCAAACUAGUAUUGGAAAUGUCCUUAUAUUGAGGUGGUAACAUAUUACGUUGAAGACAAAAUGGACCUAGAAUAUAUGUCAGAAAUCCCCUCUUGAUCAUUGAAAACUAGCUAAAAGGAAUGAAGACUUACAAAUCCAGAACUUUGCACGAGUGUCAAUAUGGCUAUAAUGUUGUUAGACAUAGUUUGAGGAUAGGUUG